rnacentral:misc_RNA from 1 species
GAUGAAGAACGUAGUGAAAUGCGAUACUUGGUGUGAAUUGCAGAAUCCCGUGAACCAUCGAGUCUUUGAACGCAAGUUGCGCCCGAAGCCAUUAGGCCGAGGGCACGCCUGCCUGGGCGUCACACGUCGUUGCCCCCCCAUCUACUCCUUCGGGAUUGUGGGGGGCGGAUGAUGGCCUCCCGUGCGCCUCGUCGCGCGGUUGGCAUAAAUGCCAAGUCCUCGGCGACGCACGCCACGACAAUCGGUGGUUGCGAAACCUCGGUUGCCCGUCGUGUGCGGUCGUCGCGCAUCGAGGGCUCGAAAAAAUUGUCGGGCUCCGGCUCGGCUUUCAACGCGACCCCAGGUCAGGCGGGGUUACCCGCUGAAUUUAAGCAUAUCAAUAAGCGGAGGA